UUCACGUCACCAAGAGUCACAGAGCCCUCUGUGAUGUCAUAAAGCGCUCAGCAGACCUGGGGCCCCACAAGCACAGCCCCCACAAGCACAGUGUCUGCUGGUGCAGGUGCUAGUGCAGGUGCUGGUGCUGGUGCUGGUGCUGGUGCAGGUACUGGCAGUGUUGGCACUGGUGGUGUUGGUGGUGCUGGUGGUAGUGCCCAGUCUUGACGGAUCAUGGAGAAGAUCCGGAAGUUUUUCCGGACAUUGAGAAAGACACGGAGAAGGUGGAGUGCUCGCGUGCACCCCAUGGACUGCACAGAGCAGGAAAGUCAGGGAGAAGGCCCUUUGGAAUCUGAAGUGAAGCAGGUGACGGUCUUCUUCUGGCUUUAUAAAAUGCUUGCCAAUGCAUCCUCUUUUGAGCCGAUUUCCUUAAGUGUUGACAGUUUCUAUUCUUUCUUUCUUUCUAUUCUAUUUCUAUACUUGGAACAGGCAGAGGACAGCGCAGAUGGAGUAUCAGUGGCAAUUUCUGCCCCGCAUGAUCUCUCCAUCACAGACGGGGUGGCAGCGGUACCUUCUGCCCCGCAUGAUCUCUCCAGCACAGAUGGGGAGGCAGCGGUGACUUCUGCCCUGCACGAUCUCUCCAGCACAGAUGGGGAGGCAGCGGUGACUUCUGCCCUGCACGAUCUCUCCAACACAGAUGGGGUGGCAGCGGUAACUUCUGCCCCGCUCGGUUUCUCCAUCACAGAUGGAGUAGCAGCGGUAACUUCUGCCCCGCUCAGUCUCACCGAGACCUUUGAAAGUUACUCGUGCUCAGCAAACGACGCUAAGCAAGGAUUUAAGAGACAACCUGAGCGAUGGCCUUCCUGCCUAGAAGGCCUCUCUGGGAACAUCUCUGAGUUGCAAAAAAGCAACAAGACCUCGUCUCAGCAGCAGAAGAAAUCCAGAAGUAAAGCUCGUAGGCAAAAGAGACAAUUGGAGCAAUUGGAAGAAAUGCUCAAGGAAAAGACGUUGGUUUUAGAAGCGACAGAAAAAGCACUGUUCCAGGCCCAGAGGCAGGCAAAGGAAUGCCGUGCUUCACACCUUGCAAAAGGUGAACCGAGAAAAGAAAGUGCAGAGAAGGAAGUUCUGCAGGAACAAGUGGCCCAGCUCCAACGUGAAAACCUUUCACUCCGUCAGCGGCUGGAUGAUGCGCUCAAGACCAGCCAGGCAAGAGCGAGAACAGCCAGACAGCUGCAACAAGAACUUACCGAGGCUGUCGGAAAGCAGCAGAUUGCAGAAGCAUCCCUGAAAACUUCUGCCGACUUAUGCGACUCGCUGAAGAACAAAAUCUCCAAAUUGCAAGAGGAUUUGGACAAGGCUAAUGCCACGGUGUGUGACCUUUCUGCACAGCUAAAGGUGGAACACUCAGAGUUGCUGCUGCAAAAAAGGGCAAAUGAGGAGCUGCGGAUGGAGGAGGCUGUUCUCAAGCAGCGUGUAGAGGCUGCAGUGGCAGAUUAUAAAACAUCAGUGCAGAUUGGAAAGAAGCGUGAAGAAGAAAUGCAAGAGAAACUUGCUGAUAGUUUCAGAAAGCAGUCAAUGUCAGAAAAUUCUCAGAAGCUUUCUGAAGAUUACUGCCGUCACCUGAAGAACGACAUCUCGAAGCUGGAGGAAGACAUGGACAAGGCUAAUGUCAAGGUAUGCAAUGCCUGUGAGCGUGUUGGCAUAGGUUAAGCAGUUCUUUUCCCCUCAGUAGUGCAGGAGAAGAAAUAGUCUGAAAACAAGCGCAGGACACGUUUGUCUGAAAGCAGUAAAAGUUACGUCAUCGUUCAUGGUGGUUUUCCAGAUCACAGCAUGAUCUGCUCUGAAACAUCAACAAAGCCAGCUGCUUUCAGUCACAAGAAAGAGGCAAUCCCGUGCUGCAAAGGGGCAGUGGAAGCUCUUACUUGGGCCCUAGCGUACGUUACUCUCCUUGCCUCCCCGCCUUUCCCUUCACAGAACACAAGCAGCUUCUCGGGGACCUCAUUUUCAGGGUGAGGGGCAAAGCAGUGCCUCGGGAGCAGCAUCCAGGGAAGGAAGAGCGCAGCAGCUUGUCCUCCUUCGAGGCUCGCUGCUGUUCUGAUGCCGUUCCCGAUGUUGUGGCCGUUCUGUGACAUCACAAGGCACGCCCCCACAAAGUGUCUCAGAGUUCAGCUGCUCUGUUUGCAAGUUCUCUCAAUCUCGGCACAAAAAUGAGAUCUUUGUUCCCUGUUAGUGGCGUUCUUGAGAAACAAAAGUACCCCCUUGCUGCCUCUUCCCCCACGCUGGAAGGACAUUAGCAGAGGUGCUUGAACUCUCCAUACAGCUGGAGAUGGAACGGCAAAAGUCACUGGAGCUAGAAAUGGCAAAUCGAGCGCUGCAAGACCUGGUUCACCAAUAUCGCCCACAGGCCACUGCAGUGGGCUGUAGCCCAUUCUCACA